GCGCCUUGCCACGCCCGCUCAGAAACUUAAAGGAAUUGACGGGGACCCGCACAAGCGGUGGAUGAUGUGGAUUAAUUCGAUGCAACGCGAAAACCUUACCUACCCUUGACAUGUACGGAACCCUCCAGAGACGGAGGGGUGCCCGAAAGGGAGCCGUAACACAGGUGCUGCAUGGCUGUCGUCAGCUCGUGUCGUGAGAUGUUGGGUUAAGCCCGCAACGAGCGCAACCCUUGUCAUUAGUUGCUACAUUUAGUUGGGCACUCUAAUGAGACUGCCGGUGACAAACCGGAGGAAGGUGGGGAUGACGUCAAGUCCUCAUGGCCCUUAUAGGUGGGGCUACACACGUCAUACAAUGGCCGGUACAAAGGGCUGCCAACCCGCGAGGGGGAGCUAAUCCCAUAAAACCGGUCGUAGUCCGGAUCGUAGUCUGCAACUCGACUACGUGAAGUCGGAAUCGCUAGUAAUCGUGGAUCAGAAUGUCACGGUGAAUACGUUCCCGGGUCUU
rnacentral:rRNA from 1 species